rnacentral:rRNA from 1 species
AGUGAACGCUGGCGGUAGGCCUAACACAUGCAAGUCGAACGGCAGCACAGUAAGAGCUUGCUCUUACGAGUGGUUAGUGGCGGACGGGUGAGGAAUACAUCGGAAUCUACUUUUUCGUGGGGGAUAACGUAGGGAAACUUACGCUAAUACCUCAUACGACCUACGGGUUAAAGCAUGUGAUCUUCGGACCUUGCGCGAUUUAAUGAGCCGAUGUCGGUUUAGUUAGUUGGCGGGGUAAAGGCCCACCAAGGCGACGAUCCGUAGCUGGUCUGAGAGGAUGAUCAGCAAAACGGGAACUGAGACACGGUCAAGAUUCCUACGGGAGGCAGCAGAGGGGAAUAUUGGACAAUGGGGGAAAGCCGGAUCCAGACAUACCGGUGGGGUGAAGAAGGCCUUCGGGUGUUAAAGCCUGUUUGUAGGGAAAGAAAAGCAGCAGGUUAAUACCCCGCUGUUCUGACGGUACCCAAAGAAUAAGCACCGGCUAACUUCGUG